rnacentral:pre_miRNA from 9 species
UCUCGAUAGCGUAAAAGUUACCUCAUAUCUGUAUGGAAUGGGAUUGUUUGCCUACGUUUGCCGCUAGGGGCGCUGUUCCAACUCCAUACAGAAUUGGGUUAACUUUUACGCUAUCGA